rnacentral:lncRNA from 1 species
UUUGUAAAAUGUUUCUUAUAUAUAUAUAUAUAUUCCAAUUUAAAUGUGCUGCAAUUGAAGAUUCUUUUUUGGUAGUUGAGAAAUUAGAAAUUAGUCUAAAAUCAUUAUUAUCUUAGCUACAUAACUUUUCUAACAUAAAAAAAAAUGUUUUCUAAUCAAACCGCUAAAAAACAGAAAUAAGUAUCUCUCAAAUCUAACAAUAAAUACUUAAAUUUCAAAUACUUACAUCAGUGGUGUGUCUAUCCAUUAAUAAAAUCUAAAAUUUUAAUAUAUUUUACACCGUACUAUGUUGCAAUAUUUGCAACGAUUCUUUGACAAAAUAGUAAAGAAAAUAAUUUACUUUAGUUAUCCUUGAAUAAUUAAAAGAAUUUUAGAAUAAGGAAAUAUGUAUCUUAUAAAAGGUAUAUUUGUUGGCAAAUAUCAUUAACUAAAGUAGGUAUUUAACUUUUUUUUUUUCAAAUUAAAUUUAAAUAAAAUCAGCCACAAUUUUCUUAAUAUAAUGAAUGUUAUUUAAAUUUUUAUAUUUGCAACGUACGAAUCUUGAUAAAAGUUAUUAUAAUUCUCGUUGUGUUACUAAAAAGUAAACUUAACUUAGUGGAUAAUUAACAUAACUUUUGAUCAUCUUAAAAAUAAGAGAUUUAGUUCUCAUCCUCGUCAUGAUAAUUGUUAUACUAAAAAAGAUAAAGAACUCUCAAACUACGUACCAAAGGCAACAAUAACUAAACAAAAGCGUGAUAAAGGAAGCUUUUUCUUUUUCAUUAGUAUUUGUACUUUAAAUUUUACAUUAGUCUCUAAGAUUAAGUUUAGAAUUUGUUGAAGGUAUAUAAAUUAAAAUUUUAACAUUAAAAUUAUGGACAUUUUCUAAAAUAGUAAAAUAAACUAAAAUAUUUACCAGUUAUAACAAAGCUAUUUUAAAUUCUAUCACAUAUAGUUUUCUAUCACUAUAGAAUAUCAAUGACUAUCUAUAAUAGAAUUUGCUAUAAGUUGCAAAUAUUUUGUAAAAUCUACUAUUUUUAAAAAUUCUCGGAAUCAAAAUUUGUUCACAGAGUAUCUCAAAGUGUAGGAUUUAUUUGUAAAUAUGAAAACUACAUUUCAAUUUAUAAGUCGUGUUUGGUAAUAACAAUCUUAUUUUUUGUUUUUGUUUAUGAAAUUUAGCCUAUAUUAAGAAUUUUUUUUCCCCGUUUUCUACUUUUAAUAUUAGAUUUAAAAAAGAGAAUUAAAAUAUUUAUAAACUAUAGUAAAAUUUUGAAUUCUAUUAUUGAUAGUCUUUUAUUAUUAUAGCAUAUCAAUAACUAUCAGUAAUAGAAUUUGCUAUAUGUUAUAAAUAUUUUGUAAAAUCUACUAAUUUUAAGAAAUUUCCUAAUAAUAAUAAUUAGUGUUAAUUUCGAACACAACAAAAUGUUAUGGCUUAUCAGUGAUAAAUACGAAUACACUACUAUCAUCUAUCACUAAUAGAUUAUAACAUUUUGUUAUAUUUGAUUUUUCUUUUUACAAUUUUGUCAUUUAAAAUAAUUGUUUUAAUAAUUAUCAUACAAGAAAGGAAAAUAUAUAAAUAUGUUUUCAAAAUUUGUAAUAAAAUGGUUAUAUGUUAUUUUUUAAGAAAUAAGAUCAAACUUGUAGGACUUAAUUUAAAUUGAGGGUUUAGGGUUUUGAGACUUAAUUUAAAAUCUUAUUCACCUAAAUUGUCCAAUCAUACAACUUGUUAUGUGACAAAAACAAUUCAUAAUUUUCAAAUAUUUUGAUAUUUUUUGGUGUGUGAUAAAAAAGAUGCACAAAAUUGGUGUUGUACACAAUGCACAAGUGUUAUCUUUAAAAAUAUAGAGAUUAAAAUUAGAACAUUUGCAAAUAUAGCUAUCAAAAUUAAAAUAUUACCAUAUUUAACAUUAUUUUUAAAAAAUCUAAAUACAACAAAGUCUAUUAGCGAUUAGACCUGUCUGACAAUAUGGUUUAUCAUUUUGUUAUAUUUAUAGUAUUUUUAUAAAUGUUGUUGUAAAUUCGAUUACCAUUAAAAUGUGAAAGAUAGGGACGAAAAUGGUAAUUUGAGUAUAUUUAAAUAUAUUUUGUUAAUAAAACAUCGUCUUGAAAAAUAAUAAUGAUAUUCGAUGACGUCUCUGAAUCUACAAAUUACCAAAUUGGUAACACCACCUGUCGGAGACCUUCCUAUCUUCUAGAAUGAGAUUGGAUUGUGGGAACCAAUUGGGAUGGAAAAAUGUUUAGAGAUAUUUCAGAUAAAACCUUUUCUUUUUGCACAAAGAAGGCUUUUUUUUAUUUUAUGGAUUUCGUUAAAGAAAGUUGUUUUUUUCUAGAUAUUUAUAACUCUCUUUCCUUCUUGGAAUAGGAAAAAGAGUAGGAGUGAAUCAUGAGAAUCUAUUAUCAAAUCUACUAAUUAAUUAACAAUUAAUCAAUUAGUUAAUAAUUAAUUAAAUCAUAUUUAGUUAAUAUUUUAUUCAAAUCUUAUUUCAAUAAAUAUCUCUCGAUAUCUUAUAAAUUUAUAUUAAUAAAUUAAUUAAAUCAUAUCUAAUUAAUAUUUUAUUUCAAUCUUAUUUGAAUGAAUAUGUUUCUAAUAUCUUAUAUGUUUAUAUUAAUAUAAUUAAUAAAAUCACAUUUAAUUAAUAUUUCAUUUGAAUGAAUAUCUCUCCAAUAUUUUAUAAAUUUAAUUAAAUAAAAAUAAAUUAUUAAUUAAUUCUCUAAUUAAUUGUUAGCUAAAUUAAAUAUCUUAUAUUAAAUUUAAAUCAUAUUUAAAUAUAAGUUUCUCAUAAUUAAUAAUUUCAAUAUGAAUCUAAUUUACAUUAAACUAAUAUUUGAACUCAUUCAUGUAUUUUAUCUCUCGUAAAUUAAUUUUGAAUCAUAUCCAAAUUUAAAUUUAUAUAAUAAAGUUUCACAAAGUUUAUAUUAUAGUGUAUCACUAUACAUUAAACUAAUUCCUAAAGUAAUUUUGAAUAUUUCAAAUUACAACCAAUAUAAAUAAAUCUCAUUACCGUUUAUGAGCUAGGAAGAGGACCUAAUGGACUUAUAAAUCAGAAGCUACAACGAUAUGAGAUUUUAAUGUUAAAAUUGUUCAAGUUUAAGCCUCUAACAAUAUUUUUCUCCCAAUAUCAUUAGAAAUGGUCAUUACGUGUUCAAUGAAUUAUAAGCAAAUGUACCAAUAUAUAAUAAUAUAUAAGGAAAAAAUGAUAUUAGAUCACUUUUUUUUUUUGUUGAAAUUAGUGUAUUACAUACUUAUUUUGUGUGAUGAUUUACCUUUAAAACUAUAUUUUAUUAAAAUUAAUUAUGAGUGAUGAAGAGUUUAAAGAAUUAUUAUAAAUGGUAAAACUAGUUAAAGAUAUAUAGAUAUAAAAUUUUGUUAUAUUUUAUAAAUAUUUUCUUUAGUUCAUUUUACUAUAUUUGAAAUAUAAUACUCGAUGAAUUAUUGAAUAUUUCGCAUCUUGCACCAUCUCAAAUGUGAAACUGAUCGGAAGAAAUGACGACAAAUGAAUUUUCAGAUGAAAAUAAACUUGGGGAAGGUGGGUUUGGAGCUGUUUACAAGAUAAUUACUCAUAAAGGUUUUAGUCUUGUAAGUUAGCUAGCGGGUGAUGAAUUCCUUUUUUCCCUUCCAUUAACAGGGGAAGCUUCGCUUCCAAACGAACGAAUCGUAACGGUGAAACGGCUGCAUCAAGCUUCAAGACAUGAAGAUGUUGAGUUAAAAAAGAAGUGGUUUCGUUAUCUAAGCUUCACCAUCGAAAUUUAGUUAGCUUUUAGGUCUAUCCUUGAAAUAAAAUGAAAAGCUUAUGUACCACACAUAAAUGGCAAUUCUAUUGCACAAUAUUUAUUUUUAGGGUUUUUUUAAUAAAAGGGUAAGUUGGACUUUUCACAUGCUUAUUUGUCCCAAAACUCGAAUUUUUGAAAACGGACCCUAAAAGUCUUUAAACUCCCAACAAAUAUCCUUUUUUUUGUGGCAAUUUUCCAAUAAUUUUCCAUUUAAUGAUGGGUUCAUGAAGGGAUUAAAAUGAAGAUGUAGUGGCACUUUUUAACUACAUAUAAAUAUUUAAGAAAUCCAAUAUAGUCAAAGAUAAGAAACAAAAGAAUUGAAAGAAGUGAUGACUUGAAAACUUUAAUGAAUUAAUUAUUUUGAUUUGAGUUUUUUUACCAACUUGAUUAAUUGAUCAAAUCCCUUCUAUAAUUUCCAAACACCAAAUCAAAAGGAAAUGAAGGAAAAGAAAAAAGGGGAAUAAUUGAAUAGUAAAUGUUCAAAUUAAACUAUUCAAAAUAGUGUGAUUCAAACCAACACCAAUACACAUAGUCUUCAUUAACUUUAUUGGGUUGCCUCUAUACAAAACAUUUUAUAAAUUAUUUUUAUAUAAAAAAAAUUAACUAAAAGACUUCAAUUAAACAUUACAAAAAUUGAUAAUAAUAAUAAUAGUAUUAAUUACCAUCCAAUCAUUAUUUAGUUUUGAUUUAGGCCUUUAUUUUUCCAAAUCUAUAUUAUUUUACAAUUGUCAAAUGAGCAGCAUAGUAAUAAUUUUUAAGACAAUUACAUUUAUGACAAAGAAAAAAAAUAGAAAAAAAUAGCAUUACAUCUUUUUUUUUUACAAUAUUACAAAUUUGGUAAAUAUGAUGAUAAUUAAACAAUAAUCUAAUGAUAAUUUGUUUUUAAAUUUGCUAUUUUUGUAAUUUUGAAAAUGGAAGUGACAUGAACUCUAUUACCAUAAGUUUCUUUUACUAUUUUUGCAAACUCUCCUAAUUUUUAUAGGCUCUUUUUCCCUCUCUGAUGAGAGGUAACAUUUCAAAAUUUUCCAACAUAGGUCUCUAUUUGAAAUUAACGACAAUGAAGGUGCCUUUUUCAAAUUUUAGUUUCCAAAUAAAUUUAUAUAUUUUAAAAAAUAAUGUUUUAGGUAGAAUAAGUGCAAUUGACGUUAAGAAGACGCAACUCGUUAAUAAAAAAUUCCAACAGAUACCUAGUGAAUGUAUCUCCCCAAGUCAAAUGUAAAAAAACAAAACAAAUAACUAAUAACAUUCUUAAAAAAUUAAUUUUAUGAGAUCUAAAAUUUAGAAGAAAAAAAAAAGUUUCAAUUUGUUUUUAAAAUUUAAUUGAAUAAAAGCAUUAAUUGAUACACUGAAAAUGUAUAAUUUCAUUUUACAUAAUGAUAUAUAAUAGCAUUACAACCAAAUCGUUUCAUUUUAUAAAUUACAAUAGUAAAUAUUAACAUAUUAACUCGAAAAUAGAUAUAAUAAAAAUUACAACUAAAAUAUAACUCGAAAAUUAAUAUAAUAAAAUUUUCUUUUCUAACAAUUUUUUACGCGUUUUCUUUAAAAGAUAACUGAGAAGAUAAAAAUUAUUACACUUGGUUUGAUCUUUCUAUUAAGCAUAGAUAUUUUGUCAAAUGACAAUGUUUUUUUCUCUCUUUUUCUUUCUUUUAGGUAUAUAGUUUGUUUUUAGAAAACCCAAAAAAUGGGCUGAACUUUUUUCAUUUCCUUUCGGGCCUUUUCACUUUCUGUCACUGGACCUGUUUUGGGCUCUAAGGGAGAUGGGCUUUAACAACAACAAAUUGAAAAAAGAAAAACUAGCCCUCAGAAAAUUCAAGAUAUAAUAUUUAUAAUUUCUGUCAAAAUCUGAAAAACAAUUCAUUUCUACUUUGUUUGGAAAGAAAAAACAUUUGAUAAUUGUUUACACAGUAACAAAAAAUUAAAAUGUACCUUAUAAUAUGAUUCCUUGAUUUAAAAUUUAAAUAGACUAGUGCGAUUCUUAAAUAUAGCAAAAAAAAAUCAAAAUAUUUUACAAAUAUAACAAAAUGUUAUUAGUUAUUAUUUUCUUUGAAAAAAAGUUAUUGAUUUUAUUCAAAUUUUAAAAUCUCUAACAUAUAAUAAUAAAGUUUCAAAAUGUCAAAUAGAGUAUAAAAGAAAAUGGUUAGGAGUUAAGGGAAGUUAAUGAAUGAGACCCAAUUAUUAGUUGAUGAACAUUGGUAGUUUAGUCAUUUUCAAUCCCAAAUUGGUCAAACUUUUUUAUCCUUUUAAUCUAAAUCAAAGUAGAAGGUUUGAAAAAAGUUAGAGGAGCAGUUGAGGUUCAAAUUUCUUUUUUGUUUUCAUGAAAACAACCUUCAAAUCAAAAUAUAAUCUUUUCUUUUUCUUAUAUGAAAUUUAUAUUAUAAAUAAAAGAAAGAGUCUAACAUUGAUUUUUACUUCCUACCAAAAAGAAUAUAAAUACUAAUAUUUGACUAAUUAAAUUAUAUCAAAUCACAAUCAAUAAUUCUUUAUAUUCAAUAUUGUAGAGGUGGGAAUUGACUACAUACAAUCAAAAUCUAUUUAAAUCAAAAUACUAUCUUUUUAUUUUACUUUAUUUUAAAUUUUUCCGGUGAUUAAAAUUAAAUUUAAAGAAUUAUCGUAAAUGAUAAAACCGUUGAAAACAUUUACUAGAUAUAGAAAAAUUUUAGAUAUUAUUAACGAUAGAUAUUGAUUGAAGUCUAUUAUAAGUGACAUAUAUAAAAUCUUGUUAUAUUUUAUAAAUAUUUUGGUUCAAUCUUUUUUAUUUCUUUCUCUCUUUUCUAAGAUAUAAUGAUAAUUAUGAAGUUUCACUUUGUAUAUUUAAAAUUAGGAUUUCUUUUAAAAAAAUUCAACAUAAAACCCUAAGUACGUCUAAAAAAUAUAUCUAAUGAUCAUUAAACUCAUUUAUUAUAAAGUUGAUUAUGAUAAUAAGAUUUUUUUUACUACAUGAAAUUAGAACUUUUAAAUCAUUUAUAUGUAAAUAACAGAGGAAAAUACAUUUCUAUUUGAUAAGUUUUGACUCUAAUUUCUAUUUAAUGUUAUGUUUUAAAAUGUUACCAUUUCUAUAAUACUUCAAUCUUCAAUUUUGAUUUCAAUUUAGUUCAUAGUUACCCAUUUAAAAAUUAGAGUGACAUCAAUAUUAUUAUCAUAAACUUUUUGUUAUUUUUGUAAAGUUGUUUAAUUUUUAAUCUUUAUUUUGUUUCAAUUUUAGUUUCAAUAAUUAUAUUUUCUAACUCCAAUUUUUCGAUAAAUACUCAUUCUGAUUUUUUGCAUCAAUCUAUAUCAAUCAAUUUAAAAUCAAUUUUAAUACUCACUCUCAAUUUUUGCCUUAACUUUGAAGGUUUAUCAAAAAGACAGUAAAACUAUCCAACUCUUUUAAAUAAAUUAAUUGAAUAUUGAAGUAAGUAUUUAGUUGAAAAACAAAUAUUAAAGUGUAAACUUUCAAAUUUAUACGGAUCAAAUUGAAAUAUAAAAAAUAAAAUUGUUACAUUUUGAAACUUAAAAACUAAUACCACUUUUAGUAAUCCAUUUCGUUUUUAAUUUUUAGUUUUUAAAAUUUGAGUCUAUAUUCAUCUUUUUUUACCUUUAAAUCUCUUGCAAUCGAUAGCUACAUUUUACCCACUUGCUCAUAAAUGAAGUCAAAAUUUAAAAACGACUAAAAGAAGUGUUUUUAAAAGCUUGUUUUUGUUUUUGAAAUUCGGUUAAAAACACAACUCUUCUGCUUAAAAUUGAUAUAAAUUAUAAUAAUAAAAGUGGAAGAAAAUAAACAUAAUUUUAAAAAACAAAAAACAAAAUGGUUAUGCAAUAAAAUUUGAUUAAAAAAACGAUAAAAGAUUAAGAACUAUCAAGUGUAAGCUAUCAUAGAAUUAAACUGAAAAACACCACUAAUAAGAAAGUUAUGGGAGUAGGCGCCGAAUACGCAUAGUGAAACCUUCAACUGCAAUGGUAUAUCAUAGAGAUGAAUUUGCAACCAAAAAAGUCUUUGUAUCAAAAUCAAAACUUAUUUUUUCUCUCUCUUUUUAUGGAUCUUUUUUUCAAAUGUGCAUUUAUUCUACCAAACUUAAUAAACGAAUAUAAAAUGAUAUCGACCGUAGAAAUUCUAACGAGGGUUAUUUUCAAAUCAUCCAAAACAUUUAAAAAAUGAUAGUAAAGAUUUAGAUAUAUUAAUAUUUAUCACUGAUAUCGAUAACAGUAUCGAUCAUUUAUUUUCUUUUCAUUUUUUUUUUAAUUUUUUAUCGUUAUUUUUAUCUCUCUUAAACAGUAGAGUUGAAUUAUUCUUAAUUAGUCAUUUUCAUGUCGUAGAAGCUAAAUUUUGGACUGAGUGACUUUGAUUUUUUUUACAACAAUAGUCGUAGAAAUGAAAACCUAACCUUUCAUUUCUAAAAUGAAAUUCAAACGAAGCCUAGUUUUUGGCGACUUGAAACUCUUUUGUUUCAAACACAUGAGUGAAAAUUGUGUGUAUAUAUAAUUGAGUUUAAUGGUCCUUAUGGAGUGGUUAUCUUCUCAAAGGGAAUUUACACAUAAUAAAUGAUAAUUGAUUUACUUGUUAGAAUUGUUCUCUUUUAUACAAAUUACGUGUUUGUUUAAAAGUGAUAAUUAAUAAUCAUAUUCUUUUGAUUGAAAAAAUAAAUCAUAAGAAUGAGUUGAAUUUCACGACUGAGUUAUAUAUAUAUAUAUAUAAUUGACAUGCAAAUUUGAAUUUCAAAAUUGUUAGAUAUUAAGAAAUGAUUUAAUGUGUCCUUAUAGGUUUGGACAAAAUGUGUCACAAAGUUCAUCUCUUCCUAUAUUUCCAUCUGUCUUUUUUCUCUUGAUUUUGAAAAGUUAUGGAACUGUUUAAGAUUAGGUUUUGGAUAACUAUUAAAUUUGAGUUUUGAUUUCUUUAAAAAUGGUUAUAUAUAACAAUAUCAUGUUACAAAUAUUGAUCUAUUAUUAAUAGAAGUACUUUAUGAUAAACUUUAAUAUAUUUGCAAUUUUUUUAAAAUGUUGUUAUAUACUUAAGGUGUAAAUGAUUUCGGUUUGCGGUAUAUUUUUUUUGUAUAAGCUCUGGGUUCGUUUGGAUUAGGUCGUUGAAUUAUUUAUUUAUUUCUUUUAAAAUAUAUUAUUUAUUAACUUAAAACACUUAAAAUUUGUCUACCACAUGUUCUAAUAACUAAAAGUUCAUAAAACUCAAAUGUUAAAUAUCGAAAUUAAAGAUAUCUAUUACAAACUAGUAUAUAUAAAUUGUAAUAUAUUUUAAUAAUAUUAUAAAUUCGGGUUGGAUUGGAUUUGAUCAACUCAGGUUUUUAAAGAUAUAACACGAAUCCAACUCAAAGAACAUACAAAAAUAUUCAACCCAACUCAACACUUGUAAUUUGAGUUAGAUAGUUCAAGUUGUCGAGUCAUUUGAACAUCUUUAUUAGAUAUUCAAUUAUUAUUUCUAAAAUUAAUACUUAUUGUAAUCACCUUCUUACAAUAAUGAACUUGUUUUCUUAAUUUUCAUUUUUUUUCAAUCAAACACAUAAUUCCUAAACAAAAUUUAAAUGUAAACCAUACUCAAUAUCUCAUUUGUUAAUCAUUUAAUUGUUUUAAAAAAGAUUUUGUUAAUAUAAUUAAACUCGUAGAAUCUAAUAUUAAUUUUGUAUAAUUUUUUCAUCAAAGUCAAAGGAUAAGAAAAUAUACUUUUAGAAGAAAAGAAAAAAAUGAGGUGAAAUUUUUUUCCAUGGUUUCACAACUUUCUCGGCAUCCAAACACAGCCCUAACGCCGCCCCUUUAUUAAUUAAUAGUAGUUUGAGUCUUCACCAAAAUGAUAGUUUACCAUUACAAAAUCUAUAUUAACUAAGUAGUCUAAAAUGAUUCAUUUCUAACAAUUUUGAAGUUUGGAUGAUAUUUUGCCAAGUUUAAAUGAUUGUACUAAUUUAUACACUUACAAAAGUUCAUCUAUAAAUUGAUUUUAAUUAUUAAUUUGGAGUCUAAAUUGAUAUAGCAACGAAGUUUAUGGAUGUAAAUGAAAAAAAUUUCGAUACUGCGAAAGUACGGUAAAUUUUCUAUACUUGAGACAUUUAUUGUAUGUCACAAUCAAAAUCAACGUGUAUUUAAAAAUAUAAUAAAACGUAAGAUCUAUCCAUAUUUGUAAUGUGAACUUUCAAAAAGUUUGGAAUUAUUUAUUUAAAAUUUCCCGCCCAUCAUACCUAUAUAUGGGAGAAUAUAGUUAGAGGAAUUUAUUGAAAGUUGGAAGGGCGAAAGGGAAACAAUAAAAUUCAGAGGGAAAAUUAAAAUUGGCCUUUCCAAAGUUGGAAAGAACAUUCUCAAAUCUUCCCAUCAUUGAAGGUGGCCAUAAAAUCAUAACAAGUGAGACAAAUUUCAAUCAAUAAUUUACAACUUCAUCAACUUUGCCACUAAAACUACAUAUACUAAUUAUCAACACAUAUGUAAUCAACCUAUUUAUAAAAUAUUGUAAAAUUUUAUAUUACGUUGUCGUUGAUACAAGUCCUAUUAGUGUAUAUAAUUGAUUGGAUCGAGAAAAAAAUUAGUAGUUGUGUUAUUUAUAAUAAUUUCUUAUAUAUAUAUAUAUGAAUCCACGUCAAUAAUUAAUCAAAUGUACUCAUUCUUUUAUUUAUAAUUGAAUAUUCAAACCUCCAGCCAAUAUAUUGUACUCGUUCUUUUAUGAUUAUAAUUAGGUCAAUAUGAACAUAGUUCAAUUGACAAGUAUACGUUGUUUUUGGAAAAAAAGAAAAACAGGUGAAUACAUACUAUUUAAAUUCAAUAGAUAAAGUCAUAUAGCAUCAAUUACUGUCAUAAAAAUUGGUGGUUUAAUUCGUACACUGUAAAUGUAAAACUUUUUUUAAAAAAAUCAAUUAACUUUUUUUACAUGAAUUAUAUAGUGAUUUUAUUUAAUAAAUAAACGAAUUUCAAUUCCUUCUAAUCUAAAUUAUAAGGAAGCAUCCAUUUUUUAGUGCAAAUUAAUGUAGAAAUAGUUAAUUAGUUAUGAAUUUAUAUUAAUAUAUAAAUAGUGAGACUUAAACAAAUUUAUUUAAAAGAAUCAAGAUAAUUGUACUAUGAGAUAACUUUCAAUGUUUUCUUUUUCAAUCACUACUCAAACUAUUAGUAAGUUUUCUCUCCAUAACUAUUAAUUAAAUUAGAAUCAAAUUCAAAUUCUAAAAAAGUUAUUCUACGUGUCUAUCCUAAUCACCGACGAAUUUAGUAUAGGUCCAAGAGUGCUCGAACCUCCCUUAACUUUAUUGUGUUUAUAUAAUAUGUAUAAACAAAACUAAUUAAUGCUUAAUAUUUAUAGACAAUUUAGUGGUAAUUAUGUUUGUCAGCCCCUCUUUCGACUCGAGUUUAAGUUUUACUUAUGUAGUUUUUUGAUUCGCUACUGAGAUUCAUAAUACAUAAAGACUUAAUUUAAUAUAUUAUCAUAAUAGAUAUCUUAAUUAAUUUUACUAUAUUUAAAAAUGUUAAGAUUGAAACGGUAAUAUUAUCGCACACGUAACAAAUUAAAAUUUAUAUAAAGAAGUUACUGACAAUAAAAACAAAAAUUUAUUCAAAUUUCCAAUUAUAUUAUUCAACUAUUUUGAAUUUUGGUGAUGAGAAAUUUCAUGGAAAAGUGUAAGAUUACGAUUAUGCCCCUCUCUCAUGUGCUCUAGUUUGCAAUGGGAACAUAAACUUUAGGUUUAAAAAAGCACGUGGGAUUAGAGUUUAAUAGCCUUGCGUGAUACGUGCGUGUUUUUCUUUCUUCUUUUUUAGUACUUUUCUUUUCUUUUCAUUUUUUUCCAACCUAAAAAAUUAAUUUAUAAACGAUAAUAAAAAUAAAAAUAAACCUUUUUAACUCUUUUUUUCUCUCCUUUUCUUUUUCUUAAAUAAUAGUCGGAAUGGGAAGUUUUAGGUACUUAUCAAUUUCAUUCUUUUCUUGAUGUGUGUAUUCAAUUUCAUGGUGAUUAAUGUUUUUCAAGUUUUGUAAUAUGUUUCUUUUAUUUAUAUAUAUAUUGGAAUUUUUGUGUGUGUAAUUUUACUAUAUUAAUUAUUUUCAAUAACAAAAUAUCACUAGUAGAUAUUGAUAGACACCGAUAGACUAUAAGUAUCUAUCACUAAAAUAUGCUGCUAAACAUUGAUAUAUAGUCUAUAUAUAUUUUUUUAGAUAUUUUUAUCAGUUUUAUCAUUUACAACAAUUUUCUUAAUGUAUUUGAUUUUUUUUAUUAAGUGUAAAUAUUUGGUUAAGUAUUCUAUUUUUGAUUUUAAAAAAAUUCAAUGUCAAAUUAUAAAUAGAUAGUUGUAUCGAUUUCCACUCCUAUAGGUUUAGUUUGUAAAACAUUGGUCGGUAAAAAUUAUAAUUAAUGUAUAAAUUUAAUUAGACAUAUCAUUACAAAUAUCUUUAAAAAUCACACAUUAUACAUUAUAUUUUUUUUAAAAAUGAUAGUUAUAUAAAAUAGACUAUUAGAUUUGAUGUGUCGACGAUUUUAAAAAAAAAAAAUUGAGAUUUUGAAUAAACUCAUCUUAAAAGUGAUUAUAAAACCGACGAGAAUAUUUUUCCAAAUAGAAUGCAAGUUAAUACAUUUGAAAAGUUUAGGUUUAGAUUAAUAUAGUUAUCGAAUUACAAAUUUAAUUUAUAUGACCUCUAGACAAAUUGAGCUUAACACGAGAAAAUUGGUCGGUUGUGGAAAAGAGACAACAAAAAUCUAAUUUCCUUUUCCUUGACUACUUCUUAUACAAUUUUAAAAGAAAUACAAACAAUAACUAACUGAUUUAUUUAUUUAAGGAUCUAAAUAAAUUUAAAAUAGUUUUAUUUUGAAAAGACGAUAUAGUUUAUUUAAACCACUCCCACAUAUACACUAGUGUAUACUAAAAAAUUAUAGUUCAAUGUUGAUUAAAUUAAUCCACAUCUUAUUUUAAAAUGCUACAAUAUCUAAUUAUAUAUAUGAUGAUAAAUGAUAAUUAUUAAUUUUCCUAAUUGAGAAAAGAGUUAUUUCUUUUUGGAAAUGCUUAAUAGUUUAGUCAUAUAUAUAUAUAUUAUAUUUAAUUUUCAAAUUGGUUAACAACUGCUUUUCUGCUUCCCAUAUAUGUAUGUUGGCACCGACCCUUUAUUUUCCACAAAAUAUCACCCACGUUUAUUGUUUUCUUUUUUUUUAACAAUUGCAUAUAUAUAAUCAAUGAAAAUUGUGAUUGAUAGAAAAAAAAACAUUUUCAAAAUAUAUAGUAAAAAAUUUAAACGAAGGAAAGAGGAUGAAUUUUGUUAUAGUUUGUAAAUAGUUUUGAUAUUUUACUGUUUUUUUAAAAUACUCCUAUAAUUAAUUAAAAAAUCUCUCUUUCUAUAUAUAUACACAUAAUCGGAUAAUUGUAAAUAUAAUAAUUAAAUAUAUAGAUAUAUUUAUAGAAAUUACAAAUAUAACAAAAUUUAUUGAUGACAAAAAUUUAUCAUCAAUAAACUAUAUUGCAAAUAUUGAUCUAUCAAUAAUAAAUUAUAUGUCACAAAUAUAUGUAAUUUUUAAAAAACAUUACUAUAUAUUUAAUUGUUGUCUAUUAUAAUAUUAUCUUUUAAACUUUAUUAAACAUUUUUUUCUUUUUUUUCUUUUUACUUUAGAAAUCAUUUCCAUGUUAAAUUUUUUAUAAAAAUAUAUAACUUUUUUGAUAUGUACAUUGAAAUUUUGCAAUUGGGUAAUUUUGAUUUUGGUUAUGUUCAUUUAGGUACGACAUGCAUAUGGUUAAAUUAUAGGUAAUCAUAAUAGGUAACAAUUUUACGUAAUUAAGUUUACAUUAAAUAUAGCAAAAUUUAUAUAAAUUUUGUUUGAGUACACACAUUGAUCUGCAAACUUCACCUUCCUCUCUACCUUCAAUUUUUUUUCUUGAGAAAUGAAAUUAGGAGAUAAAAUGAUUUGUAUAAAUAAAUAAAUUAAUAAAAGAGAACUAUUUUUUAAGCAUGAAUUAAUAACUAUCCCUAUGAAAAAAGCAUAUGGUUGGGGUUUCCAUUGGUAGUAUACAAAAGUCUUUUUCUUUUCUCUAUGUAAAAAGGUUCAUAUUUUCCAUGGUAUUUAAAGUGAAAUAUAAUAAUUUCAAAAUGUUAAUUAGGAUGUUAGAUUCAAAGCGAAUUUAAUUAUUUAUUUCUUCAAAGUUUGAAAGUUAUAAUCUUUGGUUUAUAAUUAACAUUAAAUGCUCCCAACAUCCCAUUUGAAAGUAAGCACAAAAAAGAAAAAUAAUUGAGUUGAAAUUCUUGGUAUAUAUAUAUAUAUAUGCAUGUUAUAAUAACAAUAAUUUUUUAAAAAAAAGAGGAAUAAGAAUAAUGAUAAUAUGAUAAUAAUAAUGGACCAUAAUAGUGAAACUCAUUAAUUGAUUGGAUGAAUAAAGUAUAAAAUUUAGAUAUAUGACAAAAAAAAAGCAUUAAAUAUUAUAUUUGACUCGAAAAAAAUAAUAAAAGCAAAGAAUGAGAAUUCAAAUGUAGAUAAAAAUUCAUUACAUGUCACAUCCCCCAUCUCACCAAUUUUGUUUUUUCUUUCUUUUCUUAAAAAUUCUAUGUUUGUGACAAUAAUUCAAUCCACCAUAGUUUUUUUUAUUGGUUCACAAAUUGCAAAUAUAUGAAAAUGUUUUUGGAAUCUUUUAUAUCUUUGUCAAAUUCAUCUUAUUCCAAAAGUUUACUUUAUUAUCUAACAAUAAUACCUCAAUUAUUAUUUCAAGCAAUAUGUAUUGGUCAUCAUUUUAUGAAUCAAAAGUCAAAUUCUUACCUUACAUUCUAAAAAGGAGUUUAUAUAUAUAUACACGGAUAUAGUUAGGUACCUAUAAUUUGUUUUUCUCUAUUGAUUACGUGUAAGAUUUUGUCAAACUCAAAUUACGAUAAGAAUUGAAUUCUAGACUCUAGUGAAAUGAAUUCAUACUAUCAAUGAUUAUGUGAAGCUAGUUAACUACUUGAUUAUAUUGAAAAUAUCUUCUUAGAAAAACUAUAUAGCAAAAUAAUCUUAAUUGAAAAAGCACUGUAUAUGGAUGACUCGUCACAUACUCAUGGGUGUCGCAUGGAAAGCACAGACAAUAACGAGAACAAGUAAAACACCAACAACAAAUGAGUGUAAAUGGAAUAUUAAAGUAGGUAACCUAGUUCAACAAUAUAUCACCUAUGUCUGGAAGUAGUGCGCGUAGGAAAGAUAAUCCACUAAUAUUGAAAGUUAAAUAGUUUACAACGUAGUACUUGUAUAAAAUUUCUCCCCCCUCAAGACUAAUUAGGGUCUCAAUAAAAGUGCCAAUUUUAGUGUCUUCACUUCGGCUUUUGAAAGUGAGCGAGAGACUCCCCAUCUCAUGAUGAUAUCUUUUCUUCUGAUUCAUCAACAAACUUCCUUCAUCGAUAGAUCUUAGGCUCCUAAAGAAUCUCUUCUCGUGGAGACAUCUUAGGUCCCACUAAGAUUGAGAAAACAACAAUGGUUUUUUCAGCUUCCCCUAAAUAAUCAGAAUGAUAUGUUACAAUUAAUAGGUCAAAAUUUUGCAGCGAAACACCGUGGACAAUCAACAAGCACACAAUGAAGAAAACAAUGGCCGUAUGAAGAAUAACUAUUUGCUCCAAGAACAAAUGCAAACUUGUAUGAAGAACACAAACAAACUAGCUCUAUAAUCAUGUUCGGCAAACUUAAAUAAUAUACACAAUUUUCUUUAAAUAAUCAAAUCCACAAAAGAAAAUAACAGUCAUUAGGAAACGAUAAAUCAUUCUUCGAAAAAAGUAACCAUAUAAGAUAAAAUAAUUCGUUAAAACUAGAUGUCAAGACUUUGUGUAUGACGCCUUACCAAACUACUACCUUAAUAUAUAUAUAUAUAUGAUAUAAUUUCACUCUUGAAAUCCCCAACCAUAUAAAUAGGAUAAUAUGAAAGGUAGAAAUUUUCUUUACAAAAUUAUUCAUUUAUUUUUGUAGAUGUUGCCAUAAAACCUAUAAUAUAAUGGUCAAAAUGUUGCCCAAUCAACAACAAAAUUUUCAAACAUAUACUUUGGAAUAUAUACUUCUUCUUUUUUUUUUUUUUAAUUUUUCAAAGUUUUUUUCAUGAGACAAUGAUAUAUACACCAAUCAAAUUGAAAAGGUAUUAUUAUAAACACACAUUGCAAUUUCCAUUGACAACUCACUUUUGCAUGCAUAACAGUUUGAUAAAUAAAUCUUUUUCUUUUCUUUUGAAAAAGAGAUAUUAUAUACUGCAUUUAUACCAAGGUUUUGUGUAACAUUAUUAUUCUAUCAAAAUAGACCUAUAGAAAUCAUACUCAUAAAUGGCAUCAAUUUUUUUUUUUUCCUUUGGGUCUUGUUUUUAUAAUGUAAAAAUUUUCUUUCACGUUGAGUAAUCAAGUGAUCAACUACAAAUUAAGGACCCACUUUAAAAUUAAUCAUAAUCAUCCUAUGAUUGACAAAAUUUGAUCACAUGAUCAAUCUCAAGGUAUUUGUUAGGUAAAAUAUAUUUAAUUUAAAUUUAAUAUUAUCAUUAGUAUGACUAAUGUGUGCGACUCUUUUUAUCCUUUAGGUUUAUUAUAUUAUUUUAUUAGACAAAUUAAGUAAAAUGUCAUUUUUAAUCGACCAAUAUGUUCGUAUAAAAGAUAAAACCCUAGGGAUUUGUUUUCUCUAAACCUAGUUCUUUUCUCCUCGUCAUGAAAUAUACAAUCGAGUUGUUAUAAAUUAAGUCUAAAAGAGAGAAGCACAAUUUUAUCACAAAUUAAAUAAUAUAUAUUGUAAAAACCAUCUAAUUCAAAUAUCUUGACUCUUAUUAUUUUAUACCAAUGAGUUCAACUAAUUUUAUCGUAUAUAAUUAUAUAAGUUAAUUAAAAACUAGUUAAAUUAUAACUUCGGUAUCCAUCUUUUGAAAAAAAAAAAAGUUAGAAUUUAGUUUGGGGGGUUUGAUAAAACCUCUUGUAAAUAUUCUUAACGAUGUUACUAAAUUCAAAAAGAAAUUAUAUUAUUUAUUAAAAAAAUAUCAUAACAUAGGACUAAACUCAAAUUAUUAUAAACUAUACAGAAAGACUAAAUUCUAACGUUUUGGAAAUAUAUCGUAGAGAGUGAGUAGGAGAUGUCGACCCGAGUAUAUGAAAAGGAAAAUUUUGGAAGAGGGAAAUGUAGGGUUUCGUGUGUGUGUGUGUAGGUGUAGUGUGAGGAAGGCAAUAUUUUUCUUGAGGUUUGAAAAGAAAGGAGGGAAUGGGCAUAGUGUUGAAUACGGCAGCACAGAGACAAAAAAGAUGGGUCCAAUAGUAGGCACCGUCUUUAAUUGACACAUGAAAAUAAUUCAUUACCCCCAAACACUUUCUUUUCUAAAAAAGAAAAAAAGGAAUUUAAUCACUCUUUAGGUUUCUUUUAGUUUACACCUUUGACUUCUAAUUUCCCACUUUUCUUAUUUCUUUUAUUAUCAUAAUCAUUUUCAUAUAUACAUCUAAUUAAAAUAUUUAUAAAAUAUAGUUUAUAAUUUAUCGUAUAAAAGUUUAUCAGAUAGUUAUAUACUUAAUUAUUUGAAAUCUAAAUACUAGAUUUGUAACUAUUUUUAAAAUGUUGCAAAGUUUUAAAUUCUAUAAAUGGCUAAUAAAUUUAUAUUAGUAUCUAUUAUUAACGAAAUAGAAUUUAAAAAUUUUCAACAUUUUCUUGUAAUUGUUGUGAACAAUAAAUUAUUUUUAUUAUUUUUGGAAGUGUUUUUUUUGUGUUUUUAGGACUCUUUUAUUCAAUUCUCCAAAGAAGGAAAUAUCCAAUUGCGUUUUGCAUUUUUUAUUCCCCACAUAUAUGUGUUUGCAAACCUCAUUCAUCAAAAUUAGGUUUGAAUAUUAUUUUUAGUCGUUGUUCAAUUUUUGUCCUUUUAAUUUAAUAAAUUUUAAACUUUCUUCUCAAAGUUAAUUUUUUUAUCAAAAUAUUGGUUUAAUAAUAAUUAAAAAAAACUUUUAUGCAAGACAAAAAUUAUAGAGAAAAAAAAGCUAAUGGAUAAUAUUUUUCUAAAAUUCGGAUAAUUAUUUUUUAAAAAAAAGUUGAGUUUCAAAGAUCGAUCGAAAAAAAAAAAAUCAAAGCUUUAUUAAUAAGUUGUGUUAUUAAUAUAUAGCGAUUUUCGUACCUUAAAGUGAGCAUUUUGUUAAAUAAAAAUAUCCCUUGUAACGUUUAAAAUGAUUAUGUAUAUGAAAUGUUUGAUAUGUUGAAGAAUGAAUUUAAAUUAUAAACUAACCCAUAUACGAAAAAAUCACAAAACUUUUAUAUUAAAUAAACAAACUACACUAACUAUUGCUCUUUUCAAAACCUAACCACACCAUGCUAUACUUUAAAACAUAAUAAAAAAUAUUCUUUGAGUUAAUUUCAUCAUUUGAACUUCUAAUCAUUUUAAAAUGAUACUUCACAUGUUUACUACUUAUUGAACUAGUGAAUCAAAAUGUUCCAACAUAAAUUAAUCUCAACUAUCAUCUCUAUAUUUCUGAUGAUAGGAGGUUCCAAGUUCACUCAUAAACUUAAAACGUAGUUUGAGUCAAAAUAUUAUGAAUAAACUUAAAAAGUAGUUUGAGUGAUUACUAAAUACUUUGAUUUUAAAAUUAAUCUUGAAAAUAUAUUUGAAAUGCACUCUAAAUUAUAUCUUAGGCUACACGAUUAAUUUAACAUAUCCAUAAUAUAACAUAGUUAGACUAUAAUUUAUGAUACUAAAAAAACAACUUAAAACAUGUCAUCUUUGCUAAGAAAACCAUAGGGACAAGAUCAGUGUGGUUAUAUAAUAUUUCAAAUAUAUAAUAGAAUAUAAUUUUACUUUUAUUUCAAUACGUUUUAAUCCUUAAUAUUUGAAUUAAGUUUGCUAUAUAUAUAUGUGUGUGUGUGUGUGUUAUGAGAAUUUAAUGAUUAAUUUAAAAUUCUACUUUAAUUAAUGUGUAUUAAUAAUAAGGUAAGUUUAUCUUCACACACCAACCAAAUUUAAAUUGGGAAGGAUACAAUUAAUUUUAUUUUUUUUCGCAAUGCAAUCUAUAAUUUUUUUUUUAAAACAAUGGUUGAAUACAUUAAAGGCUAAAAAUAUACUUAGUCAACAUUUUAAAAAUAAAAAUUCAGACUUUCUUAGUACGACAAAUUUUAUUUUUCUACUUUUAAAAGUUUGAUUACUCAUUCUUAAUUAAUAGAAAGGCAUAUAAAGAAAAAAUUUAACAUAAAAAAAAAAACCUUUUUAAUAUAUUUUAGAAAGAAAAUAAAACCAUAAAGCAUAUAUUUAGGUAUAUGAAAGGAAUUUUUCAAAAGUUGGAACCUCAAAGAAAAUAUUAAUAUCCAGAGAGAGAGAGAAGAAAUGAUAUUCACUUUUCGUAUGAAAUUUCAUGGAAGUAAUUAAAUUAAUUGAUUCAGUCCCUUAUAAUUUAUAAAUUGUUACCUUACUUGUUUAGAUCAAUGAGCAUCAAAAUACUCUUUUUAUUUAAAUUUUACUACAUUUUCAAAUAUAACAAAAUUAACGUAAUAUUUAUAAAAUAUAACAAAAUUUUAAAUAUAUCAACCAUUUAUAUAAAUAGAACUUUAUCCAUUUUGUAAAUAUUUUAAUACAUUUACAAAAAUAUUUAUGAUAAAAAUUGAUUAAAUUGAAUUAUUUAUGAUUCAAAAUAUUUCAUAAAUAAUUCUAUUUACUUAACUAUUAUAAAUUUUGUUUUUAAGUAGUUUUUAAAGAGUAUAAAUAAUUGGUCAAUUUCUCUAAAAAAAAUAAAAGUAUAUAUAUUAAAUAUGGAAGGAAUUUUUGAAAAAGAAACAAAAGAGCGAAUAUAAAAAGGGGGAAAAAGCAUGAAAAGGAAGUUCAUAGAAACUACGUAGUGUAAAAGUCUAGGGCGUUAGACUUAAGAGAGGAUUUCGGUUUCUGCCUUUCUAUAAUUGCUGCUGCCCGCCCCUCUCAUUCUCUCUACCCUUCCAUUUUUCAUCACUUUGAACCUAUAUUUUCUAAAUCAACAAUCUCUUUCAUCUUCAUCUUCAUCUCACCUAGCGAUUCUAUCCAUUUGAUUCAUCGGUUUCCUCUUUUUUCAUCUUCACCUGUUCUUGUAUGACGAUUCAAUCUUCUUCUGCUUCGUUUCCAUAAUCAGAUUUGGUUUCUUCGUUUUUUCUCUGUAAGAGAAGAUGAAAUUCUGUUCUUCGGACAGAAUCGGAGUUAGACAGUACAAUAAAUCGGAGCUUCCACGUCUGCGGUGGACGCCGGAGCUUCAUCGGUACUUUGUUCAGACAGUCGAGAUCCUCGGCGGAAGAAAUCGUAAGUAAUUUAUUUAUUGAUUAGUACUCAAAGCUUUUAUUUCGUUCAUUUCGCGGCCAGUUUUGGCUUUGGAAUUGGAAGACUGUUUCGGAAAACAUGAGAGAGGAGAGAGAGAGCGAUUAUGCGCGAUCGUCCGUAUUCGAAUCUUUGAUUGCCUUUUUUCUGAAGAUCUGACUUGUUGCAGAAGCAACGCCGAAAAAAAUCCUGCAAAUGAUGGGAGUGAAAGGACUGAAGAUUUCACACAUAAAGAGCCAUUUACAGGUACUUUUUCGAAAUUGAAUUUUGAUAUAACGCUUAAUUUUCAUCGCUAUUUCCGUUCGGUUGAGUGAUUCCUUUUUUUCUUCUAUAUAUAUAUUUCAAUUGCAUUUCCUCAUCUAUUCACAAAACAAAACUUCUCUGAUUUAUUUUCUCAUUCGUUUGUUAAUAUAGUUCGUUGCGCGAUCUGAUCAUGCUUGAUUCUCAAUAUUUCCUCGUGCUAAAAUAGUUCGUAUAAACUUGAUCGAGUUCUAGUCUGCUGAAUCUAUCUCAUAGACGUAUCACAAAACAAUAUACAAAUCCACUGAAUAAACACAUGUUUGUACAGGAAUCAUACAUACGAAACAUAUUUUGUUAAGUAGAUUAGAGUUUUUGUAACACAUAAUUAAACUCAAAAUUAGCAAAAUUAAUGAAACAAAUACGAUCUGUAAUUAAAAUGAAUCUAUUAUUCAAAUAUUUGAAUGAGGCUAAGUGAGUAGAGUAGGACUCUCUCUUUCUCUCUCUAAAUGUGAAAAUGGAAUUAAGCCAAACAGAUAAGAUUAAUAGCUAAUUCAUAGGGAUAGGAUUAGGACAUUGGUUUUUAAUUAAUUAAAGAAGCUUUUCUCUUCGUCUUCUACUUUUUUUUUCCUUUUAGAAAUUAAAAUAAAGAGUUAAGUUUUGGUUAGGUAGAUUCCAUACAUCGGGACGGAAAAAAGUAGCCUUUUUAAUUCAAUUAAAUAUGAAAUUAAAGACAAAGAAGUAGAAUAAUUAUGAGUUCUUGCAUGGCGACGCUACUCUUAAUAGGCUAAAUUAUAGAUUUGGUUUGAUUUUAGAUACACAUUCCUAAAUAUAACAAUCAUCUCCAAACAUGCAUAUUACCAAAUACAUUUCUAAAUAUAACAAUCAUGUCCAAAGGAUGUAAUAUAACAAUCAUGUUCAAAGGAUUAACAUGCAUUAACAAACAAAAUUAGAUAUUGUAAUUCUUUUAAAAUAUUGUUAUAUAUUAAAUUAUUAAUGUUAAAAAUGUUACUUAUUUCAAUUCACGUUUAAAAAUUAGAGUUUAUUUUUUUACAAUUUAAUAAAUAGUAUGAUAUAUCUAAUCACUUGUCGUAUUUAUAAUAUGUAAAAUGGAGGUUCUAUAGAUUGUUUUUUAAAUUUUUUUUAAUUACAAAACUAUUGAAAAUAUUUUUAAUUGUGAUAAACACAAUAAAUUAUUAUUUGUAUUUAACUAUAAUAUUUAUAAAUAUAUAUUUAAAAUAUAAAUUAAUUCUAUUAUUUAUGAUGUAUUUUGAGUAGAUGUACAGAAGCAUUAAAUUAGAAAAUGGGAGUAAGUGCGAGGAUUUAGUGAUGAGACAAGGCAUGAAGCACAGAAGAAGAAGAACAUUGCACUCUUGUGAUAUCAAAACCUUCUUCUCUUCGAUCACCUCUUCCAACGAGUACGUUCCUCAAUUUUCUUUUCUCUUCUCAUAUACCAUCGUUUCCAAAAUUAUUUUAAAUUAUAAAACUAUAUAAAAAAAUUAUUUAUAAAUAUAACAAAAUUUUAUAAUUUAUAGAAGAUUGAUGUAGAUUUUUAUUGGUAUUUAUCAAUGUCUGUGUCUAUCAAUGUCUAUAAUAGGUAGGUGUCGAUAUCAAAUUUUUUUAAAUAUUUUGAUUCAUUUUUUUAUAUUUGAAAAUAAGUCCUAUUAUUAUUAUUAAUGAUUUUUAUCGAGAAUCUAAAUCAUUAGGUGCACAUAGAGUUUAUAACUGGAGUAAAAGUAAAAUUUAAAUAGAACAUAUCAUUUUUAAAAAAGAAAUUGAUACGUGAUAAGCAUUCAUUAUCGGGUGUGGAUUGGGUUACACAAAAGGAUACGGGUGCUUUUCAAAAAAAAAAAAAAAAAAGAAGAAGAAUUUCUAAAUCGUUUCCUUAACUUCCAUCUCAUUUGAAAACUAUUUUAAUUUUUAGAUUUUACUUUUCAAAAUUGAAUUUAUAAACAUUACUUCUCCUCAAAACAAAUUUAUUUGUUUUAUUAUAAACUUUAUAGAGAUGUUUGAAGACUUCAUUUAAGACAUGGUUUAAGAAAUGUGAAAACCAUGGAAAGAAAACAAGUACAAUUUUUUAAAGAAAAAAACCUAUAUUAUCUAUGAGUAUUGCAUUUAUGUAUUUUGAAAAUUUAAGCUUAUAACUAAAGGUGUCCUUGUUUCCUUGAGGGUUUUUUAGAAAUGUCUUGAAAAUUCAAUCUAAUUUUAAAACCUAGAAAUAAAAAUAUAUUUUUGAAAAAGAAAAAGAAAUAUUUGAGUAUAAAUUCUGAAAUGAUUUAUAAGAUUAAAAUCCAGAUUGGUUACAAAUGUGUGAAAAUUUUAUUUUAAUAAGAUAAGCGAAUAUAAAUAAAGAAACUCAAUAAUAAGAAUUAAGAAUGGUUGGAGACAUUAUAUACUUAUAUACGUGCAUGGCCCUAUGCAUAUCUAUAAGAUUAAUAAAUAAACCGGAUAGCAAUCACUCUUUCUUUCUUUCUUUCUUUCUGUUCAUUUUCUAAUCUUUUUUUUAAAGUUGUAUGGUUUCAACUUAUUUUGAGAAAUAUUGUAGUUUUUAAAAAGAUCACAAAGUGAAGAAACGACCUUCCUAAAAAACUACUCUUCACACAAAAACCUAGAAUUUGUUUAUAAAAAAAAAGAUGAGAAGAAAUAAAAGGUGGCAUGUCGUAUCUUAGCUUUCUUUUCCAUUUCAAUAAAAGGUUCUUUUUUCAUCAAUAGACUUAUUGGGGAAGAUAAGAAGAUACCCAAAUGUUAAAGAAUGCUUUGAACCUGACUUCCAUCUCAUUUCAUUUCUCAUAUUUGGUUUCAUUGUAGCUACAAUAUUUAUCUCUGUCAUUUUUUAAAACUAUUUAUUUUUAGAGGCUUUUCAAAAAAAAAUUACAUUCUAUAGGAAAAAUAACCCAUCAUCACACCUAGUUUUAUCGGAUUUUUCUAAGAUGCGUAAAUAUUUUGUUUUUGGAUUUCUUGUUCUUGUGUGUGUUUUUUUUUUUUUUUUUGUCAUUCUUUUUUAUUUUAUUUUAAUAAACCCUCUUUAAAAAAACAAUAUUUAAAAAAAAAUCGAGUAACGGAAGAUGGAGUUUGUUUUUUUUAAAAAAUCUAUUUUUUACUCUCAUACUCUUGGAGUGGUUAUGGUUAAUGACAAAACAUAGUCAACAUAUAGGAAAAAUUUCAGUCUUUGCCUUUUUUGUUUUAGAAUAAAUAACAAACAAACAAAGCAUGCAUUCACACAAAAUUUAUAUUACACAAUUAAAGGGGUUCUUUUUUCUAAUACAAAUAAAUUAUUUUUCUUUUUAUAAAUACGAUAGGGUGAGUGGAAACUACCAAUAAAUUUUGUUGGGAACACAAUUACAAAUUCAAAUAUAGUUUAUUUUCUCUUCAUUCUUAUAUUUAAGGGUUUACGUUUGAGAUUGAGAUCAAAUACUUCUUACAUUAUAUUAUUUAACUGAUAUGUACACAAAUAUAUGAUGUCACUUUCAUCAUAAAACCUUUGAAAUAUCAAUUUGUAUUUUGAAAAAUUAUUGUAAAUGAAAAUACUCACUUAUCAUCCAUAUAAUCUAAAAUUUUACAAAAUUUUAUAAAUAUUUCAUUUGGUUUUAUUUGAAAAUACUCCUUUUUUAUGACAAUUUUAUUAUAUUUAAAUAUAUUUUAUAAAACAAUGUUAAAAAUAAAUUAUAUAUUUAUUACUGAUCCGUAUCCAAUAUUUUGCAGAAUACUGAGAGAAGAAGAUGAGUUCUGCAGAGAUAAAACAAAAGACGAACCUUCCUCCAACAUAAAAGACAGAAUUAUUUAUCAACAGGUAAUCAUUGCUCCAAAUUUUUAUUUUAUUUUAUUUAAAAUAUCAUAUUCAUUUUAUAGUCAAUUAUUUCAUCUAACACAUUGUCACCAUUACCAUUCUUUUCUUUUCUUUUCUUUUUUUCUAAUUUUGAAAAUAAUCCUAAUACAUAUUAUUAAUUUAUAUGUAAAAUUUCAAUUUUAAAGUUUUGAUAAACGUAAUUGAUUUGAAAUUUUAAAUAUAUAAUUACUGUUUCAAAGUUGAAAACUAGAAACUAAAUUAUCUCAUGAGAAAUAGAACUUCCAAAUAACCGUGAACAUAAAAUGAAAUGAAAUAAUAACGGAAAUUUGCAAAUUGAAACAUUUGUAGGCUUCAGAAUCAGAGUCAGAGUCGGAGGAGGAAUGCGUCGGGGAGUCGAUGUUAGAGGACCAAACAUGUGAUUGUGAACUCACAUUGUCCCUCAAACCCUCAAUGACACAGCAAAUUGUAGAGAGACAGUUAAGUGAUAAUCAAGAUAACAACACCUCCUCUUCCAAUUCCAAUUCCAAUUCUCUGUCCUCCAUUUCCCAACUCAAUUUUAAGUUUGUAAAGCUGAAAGAUUUCCCCCAUCCUCACCAUCAUAUCAAUUUGGACCUAACCAUAUGAGAAACCGUAAACUCUUCCAUUAUAUUCAUAGCUUUACCCAUAUUUUAUGUUAGAUUACAUGUCAAAAGUUUUGUUUGUUUGUUCAUUAAAAAGAAAUAUACAUCUAAUGUCAGGUUAACAUAUAUUCUCAUUCAACUACAAAUUUAAUUAAGGUUUCAAUGAACUACAAGAGGGGCUUUUAGAUUGUUUAAAAGUUUAAAAACUUGCUAAAAACAUACACAAUAUAAGUAUGACUUAUUAAACAUUUUGAGGUUCAUGGAACAAAUAAAUUAAAUACGAACAUUAAAAUAUUAUCAACAAAAGCAAGGCAUGAAAUUAAGGAGUGAAAAAAGAAAAAGAAGAAGAAGAAAUCCUUUUCCUAUAAUCUACAAUAAACAAUCAUAAUGACAUUAAAAUUAUGCUAAUUCUUCUCUUUUCUUUUUUUUUCUUUUCUUUUUUUCCUAGUAGAAAUGGCUAUCUAUGUACUUAAUUUUAACAUGAAAUUGUACAAAUUAUGAAAGUUGGAGAUGUACAAAGUGGGGGGAGGGGGGAGGGGGAGGGGGAGGUGGAAGGUGGGGAGGUGGGAGGGGAAGCAGAGAAGAGAAGCUUUUAAUAAUUUGAACUACCUUCCCUUUUAUGUCACUCAUCACAAUGCUGGUUGGCUCCAAAUAGUAUGUAUAGACUAUUUGGGUUUUCAUUGCCUCUUUGCCAAUGUCUUUUUCAAUCCUCUAAAUAUUUUAGAGAACCACGUCAAGUUCAUGAUCCAUAAUAUCGAUGGAACCACGAACACCAAAAAUUGCCCAAAAACGUGCAUCUGCAAAACCUGUUAAUGGCCACACAAAAAAAAUAAAAUAAAAAUGCAUUGUUUUUUUUUUUUUUUAAUUCAAGCAAAUCAAGACAUAAAUCCUUAUCAAAUUUUAUUGAAAGUGAAGUACAUAUAUAUAAUAACACACUACUAAUCAUCACAAUAUGUUGCAGGAAGAAUCAAGUAGAUUAUUCCAUGAGAUUAGUCGGGUAGAUGUAAACAUGGAUAUUUUUUAAAAAAAAAAAGGUGGAUGUAAACAUGGAUAUUAAAGAAAAAAAAGGUAAAGUGGCAAUGGAAAGGUAACAAGAAAAAAAACUUAAGAGUAGAUGUGAUGGAUAGAAAUGAUAAUAAAGGAAGUAAAAGAUUGAAAAUGCAUUUUUGCCAAUAAAUGAGCAAAAACAGUAAGAGUAGUAAAUCCAAUAACUUCAACAAAUAGCUUAGAGAUUGAUUAUACCUGAUUCAAGUGUAAGUAGACAUGGUAAAACAUGUACAUGAACAACAGAAUUCUCGCAACCUGAACAACAAAAUAUAUAUAUAUAUAUAUAUUCAUAUUAGUCCAAACUGCUUACAAAAAUACAUAUUAUAGAAAUUAUUAGAUAUAGAAAAAUAAAUGAAAUUUUAUUUUAUAUGACAAAAACUUCCAAAAGUGUCUAUAAAACUAACAAAAUAUCACAAUCUAUCCAUUAUUUUGUUAUAUUUUGCUAUAUUUUGAAAAUACCCAAAAUAAAUAUAUAUAAAAAAAAUACAUAUAUAAAUAAUAAGAUUAAUUUUUGUUACUCACCAGCCACGCGAAGAAUAUAACAAUUCCAUUUAUGAGGUAUGCUUUUGACUUCUUCAUUCCAGCUGUAUCAAGGUACCUACGCACAAAAAUUUAUUUUAGAAAAUAAACUAUAUUCUGAGGAUGUAUGAACAAAUUCCAAGUCAAAAUCAACACACUAUUUCACUUCAUAAUUAUAAUUUUCCUUAAAAUAUCAUUUUCUCCCCUCCAGUAAUUUAAAUUUGGUACAAUUUUAGUUCCUCAAACUUAUUUUUUAUCAGAAUUGGCUAAUUGAUGACAGUAGUUUUCAUGCAAGAAACUAUAAAAUGUGAAUAAGUUGUCAAAAUUUAUUCAGAAAUGCUAAUAGAUAAUAAAAACAUUUCAAAAAAGUUUAACAAUAUCGAAUAAAUUUAAGUUUUCAUUAAAAAGACAAGGACUAAAAUUGAAGAAACUUGGAAAUACAAGGACUAAAAUGGGAUUUUAACAUAAACUUUUUAAGGGAAAAUUACCAUCUCAAAUUGAUCCCAGGGGUAGUUGUCUCAGAGAUGAGAACCAUGUAGGUGUAAAGCUGCCCCUCACCAGUCAACAUGGCAUAGGCCACAGCUAAGAGAGAAAGAAGAUGGUGUAUCACCUGAAAAAAUAAAAACACCACGUUCACGUUGUCAACAACGAAUUUUCUACGUUUUUUUUUCCCUGAAGAACACAAGAUAAGAUGACGGGAACAUACAAAUAGCUUGUAAUAUUUAAAAAGUAGAAUGCACUUACAUACUCCAUUCCACCAAUUGCAGGGUAAAACCAAAGGAUCAUCACGAGAUCGGUUAUGAAGUAACCGACAGACACCUGCAGUAGCGUCAUCAAAACUUAAGUCUAUCCCGAGUUUAAUAAUUACUGGGGAAAUGGUUGAAGAAAUGAUUUUAUGAUAGCAGUAGAUUAGAUGCUUUAACCACUAAACUAUGUUUAGACUGACAAAAUUUUAAGUCUAACACAGAUAGAAAACUAGAACAGAAAAAGGAGUCCUAAAAUACUACAGGAACGGACUCCAAUCCAAAAGAAUAACGCCAACCAAAAAUUACAAAAAAGUCCGAUUAACAAACACCCAAAAAAAAACGCAUUAAACACCUCACUGCUUCCCACACUUGUUUGAAAAGUUUGAAAAGUUAAAAGCUUCCUCUUGAGCUACUCACCACAAAAUAACACAAAAACAAGCUUGGUACAAGACUAUUCCCUUGUCACGAAAGGAAAUUUUCAUUAAAAAUCUCCUCCAUUAUGUAACAAAAGUCGACACCAAAUACCUAAAAAAGACAACUCCAAAGAGAAAAAGCAAACUCACAACCCCACAAAAGAUGGUCAAGAUCCUCCUCCAAACGAAACCUAAGAUAAGGACACGACAAGACAGAAGAAAAGAAUCGGUGUUCACCACUCACUCUAGUGAGUAGUACUUCUCAAGCAAAAAACUCCACUUUCUUAGGAACUCUUACCUUCCAAAGAGAAGAAAAAAAACUUAAGCCCUAAAUGGGAAGAGAACUGAGGGAAAAGAAAAAGGAACGACACAAAAAUUCCUCAGAUAGACUUGGGAGCCAUCCAUACCCAAACAUCUCUUAUCCCAACAACAAACCUCUUAUCGGAAACAAUAGGAAGAAGAACCACAACCUCCAAAAACUCACUAUCAAUGAGAGGAUGACGAAAACCCAAAAUAAAAAAGGUGGAGACUCUGAGGGACGUAGAAUAGAAGUGACCAAGUGAAACCUCAUUUCAGGCGGAUGAUAAAAGGAAGGGGAAAAUCAUAGCGGGCUUAACACAGCCAAAAAUCCUUAACAAAAGUAUAUAUUAGACCAAUCCCAUGUAACAUUUAACAAACUGUAAAACAAAGGACAACCCAAGACUAGGGUCAUCCAAAGGUUUUUACUAGACCCUUUUAACGCACUACUUGAAAUCCUCUUCCGAAUAUAAUAAAACAACUAAAUUUUCAAAGUAAUAAGAACAGCUGUUUGAAGAAUUGAAUAAUGUUCUCCUAACGUAACAUCUCCAAAAAAGCCCACAUGUUAUCCACCCUACACAUAACAUUUGAGAUCAACUAUCAAGUAGCACAAGAAAACUUUAAUGCAGAAAUAAAGGUUAUAUUUAAAUUACCCCAUGAUGAAAUUGGUUUCAAAGCAUUAUUUUUCAGGUGCUCUUACUUCUAAGCUUCUAUCAUUCUCUAGAACACAGCAACACUUUGAACUAUGUUUCAUCUAGGGUAGCUUCUAGAAUAUCAAAUCCUAGAAAGGUGGGCACAUGACUCGAAUUUAUUCUCUUUUAAUCCUUUAUUAUUUACACAAACAUCUGUUGACCACUAUGACAAGUCAUGGUGGUUAACAACGUGUCAUGUUUCUUUGGAUACAAUUUUCAAUAAUCAACAUAGAUUUUUAGAUUGUUCGAUAACACAUUUUCAGCCUAUAUAUUAUUUCAGUCGAGAGUUCUAAUUAUCAAAAUGCCAAAUUCACACUGCUCUCUGUCCCCCCUUCCAACUUUCCAUGCAAUACUUCCUCAUAAAUAAAGCUUAAUGCCACUGUUAUCCUCUCAGUGAGAAACUUAAGUUUCUUAAAUCACCAAUUCAUCCCAAAAACUUAAGUUGAUAGGUGAUGACAAAUUUAAUAUAAUAUCUAACACUCCCCCUCACAUAUGGGCUUAAGAUAUCAAUAAAAACCCAACAAGUGGGAAUCCAUAUUAAAUGGGGAGGAAAUAACGUUGCAAGAGUUUGAACACAAGACCUUCUUGGACCACUUGCUCUGAUACCAUCUUAAAUCACAAAUUCAUCCAAAAAGCUUAAGCUAAUAGGUGAUGUCAAAUUUAAUAAUAUAAACAAUUAUUAUGACCAAAAACUUGAUAGGGAAGUACCAAUGAUCUAUAUCAUUUGCUCCACCCAAAAAAAGUUUUAUGAGUCUUAAAUCUCAAAGGUAUACAUUUCCUUUCAGGUUUCGAUCCUAAUUCUUAGGACCUGAUCAGGGCAUAUUCUUUCAAGAACCAUCCUCUGAAACAAAAAUCUCCAUCUUUUUUUUUUAAUUUUAUUUUGACUAGACAAAUCUUCCAUCUUUAUUGUUACCAUACUAUAGUCUAUAAGCUUCACAAAGUUGAGGGAGGCCCUUAACAUUUCCAGCAUAAGACAAAAUUUCUCACUCUAUGAUAAUAUACCUACUCAUAUAUAUGAAUUUAGUACAAAGAGUGCACUUACUCCCAGGCCAAAUGUAGAUAUUGUUGAAUUACGAAAGGUAAUAGGGCCAAAAUAUUGGUCAGAAUAGAGAUCUGAUAAAAACACCAUGUAUAAUGCUGCUGCUGUGAUGAAAAUGGCAUGGACAGUUGACAUUGCCCUGUAAAAACAGCAAACACAAAAACAUAUUACAAAGAAAAAAGAAAUAAACCAAUGCAAAGAAGGGGAUGAUCAUGUACCGGUUGUUCCACUCCACCCGCUGAAUCCUAGAAAGAUUUGAAUAGCUCUUGAAGUAAACACUGCUUAUCAUAUCAGUAAGAUCAUAGACCUGGAAACCAUAGGAUGAAUUACAAAUGAUGCAGAAAUAAAUACAAAGAAGAAGAACUUCACAUGCAAACUCACAAAGAGAAAAGAAACUAACUACAAGCAUAUUAUCAACCUUUUAACAUCAUGAUGAUUGCAUUGAAGAUAAAGUCGCAUGCAAGGGACCCACAUUCAACAAGAUAAAAGAGCCAUAGAUGACAGGAAGGUACCAAUUUGCUAGCAAGUACGCCUGCGGGAAUGGAAAUAUAUGGUACAACAGGAUCUGAUAGUACAAGAUACUUAAGUAGUUCCCCGGCCUGGCUCUUUAGUGACAUGAUCGCUUGUUUCAAUCUUGGGUUACAGCAUGCCACAGCUUCAAAAGAAACAAGAUGCGCAAUUCCUUCAAAUUCUCUAACUUCUUCUCUGCCUAUUCACACCUGUUUUCAAAGUAAAAGGUAAGCCAUCUUAACCAACUAAUGAGGAAAACUAAACAUAAUUGGCAGAGUUAAGACAAGAGCAUCAUUCUCAUUCACCACUCUAUAAAGGUCAACCCAAGACAAUAAGAGAGACUAAUAAGCGAAGUGAAGGAACUACAAAUCAAAAGGUUUCAUCCAAACAGAUGGCAAGGGAGUUGUGGCAGAGUGCUCUCAGAAUCCCAGUUAAGGAACUAGGACGGGAGAGGUACUAUAGGUUUAUCAAAUUUAAGGCUUCCUUAAGAAGCUCUACUUUUGUAAUUAAUUAGUAGUUUCCCUCUUUUCUACAAGAGAACAAUGGAGUGGUUCUACCAUCCAAAACUCAUCUAGGUGGAAUCCUUUUGCUUCUAUUGCAAAACUGAAAGAACUUUGUACAAACCAUGGCAUUUUACUUGGUUUAAUGUCACAUCUCUCAUUACAAUUUUAUGUUAUCUAACAAGGGUUAACACUUGACAUUCUUCUUAAUCUAUAAUGCGCCAAUGAGCAAGAAGCAGGUCAGAAGAUAAAUUAAAUAGUCACAAAGUAAUAUUAGUAUUCAUGCUCAAAUAUUCCCCAAGUAGAAAGAUUGCUUAAAACCCCCAAAGAAAGAAUACAAAGAAUCAAACAUGAUGACACAUGAACUGGUGUGCUGGCAGGAUCAAAGCAGAAAUUUCAUUCCAUUCGUGAAAUACUGAAACUUCUUCUUGUCUAUAGUAUACAACAUAUGGCCUCUUGGUGGAGUUCAAAUCACAAAGACGUCUUUCGUAAUAAAAUCUUUCCAUUACUAUUACAGAUUGGAAAACCUUUUUGUCGUACAAUCUCUUUAGGAGGGAUCACCCUUGGCUCUCGAUCCUUAGGUAGUUCCUUUUGGCUAAUCAGCUCAAUCAAAAUUGGAGCAAACGAACAUGUGUAGAAUUUAUUUCCAAUUUUUACUGGUAAAAAAUUGGCCGAAUACUUAAAUGUUAGAACUAUGAGGUCAAAUGCUUAGUCAUCCAACUUCCAGAUGCAUGCAACAAGCUAAGUAGAUUUAAAACCUAGGAUAAGAUGAUUGUGACACGGUAAAAACAACAUUGCAUGUUGCAAAUUUUCUAAUAACACAUCACAAUCUUUUUAUUCAAAAGCUCUAAAUGUACAACAAGUACAACCAAGCUUCUAAAAUCUUUAGACCACAGGCUGAAUAUACAAAGCAUCUCCUAAACCAUCAUAAACUUGCAGUUCAAUGAAGUCCUACACGAUAGAUAGAUAAUACAUAACAACCUCAGAACUGAAAGAUCAAAACUACCAAACACAAACAUUGUGAAUUAGCUUCAGAGUCCCACCGUAUGUAAAAUUCACACUUCCACUCAUCACAAAACUGAAAUACAAAGGAGAACGUCCAACUUCCAAGGACCAGUGACCAGCACGUUUCACAAUGGCAGUCUAAUUUAAACUCUUAUAGAGAUAUCAAUCACAUUGAAAACAUACGUCAAUAAAUUUUAAUAGAAUAAAAAAACUAAUAGAAUUCAAAUUUAUACACUAAUCAAGAAAAUCGGAACUCCAAGAAGAUCGUCAAAAUACACCAACAGCAAUCCGCAAGUUACACAAAGUUAAGUCAAUCCGUCAUGAAUUUCUAAUGCAGCCAAUGAAAAGUCAAUCACACUGAAAAACGAAAGAAAUAACCAAGUAGAAUGCAAAUUCACACUCAUCGCGAAAAUCGAAAGACGAAGGAGAUCGUCCAAAAACAUCAACGGCAAUAAGUAAGUUUGACAAAGGAUAAAUUCCGACAUCAAGUUAUAAAGCAAAAGAACAUAAACCAAAAAAAUCAACAAAACAAAACAAAAACGAGAAUUAAGCACACAAAAAACUCAUAUAGAGAAUGAAAUAGAAGUAAAAACACCACAGAAAUGCGCGUUUGAUCAGAAAAUCAACCAAAACAAAUCGAUAAGCAAAAAAUGACAAAAGAUGAUCACAAAAACCAUAAAAACUCACCGGAAAAUCGGCGGAAAACGUGGAGACGCGGCGGAGAAGAAUCAGGAAGCAAUAAGAAGAGCGGAGAAGGAUUAAAGGAGGAAGAAAGAGAAGUAGAAAGAAAGGCGGAAAAUGGGAAUGAUAAUGAAAAUGGGGAAGAAGAGAAGAAGGCAAUAGAAAGAGGAAAAGAAAUUUCUGUUAGGAAUGGAAGAAAGAGAGAGGGAAGGAUUAGGGUCAGGUAAUUGGGCCCAAAGCAAUAGUGUCUUCUUUUCUCACGCUACGCUGCGCUCCUUAGCGUUAACCACUACGAUACGAACCUUCCAGACAAAUCCACUCUUAUUAUUUUCAUUUCUUAACUUUAAAUAGCUUUUUUGUUUCUCUACUUUUGACUUCCGUUUUUUUUCGUCGUUAAAUUUUCAAUCCAAAUCAUUUUAGCUUUUAAAAUUAAAUUUCUUUCUUUUUUUAUCUCUUACAAUAAUUUUAUUUCUUUUUACCAACUCUUAAUUACCACAUAUAAAAUUUUAAAAAAUAUGUAUUUACAUAAGAUUUUAUUCAUCUUCCAAUAACAUAUAAAAUUUCUUAAUCUAAACAACUUAAAUUAAAUCAUCUCUAAUUUCAUAUUAUCUUCCUUUAUCAAUUCACCCUUCAACACAAUAACUAUAGGAUGAAGUCAGGAGUACAAUAACUAAAAUAAACGUUUUUAAAAUAUAAAAACUAAAAUAAUCCUUUUAAAAUGUAUAAAUCAAAGUAGUAUUUAAAUUUAUGGGAUAAAUCAUUAGAAAAAAUAAACAAACUAAUAAAUUGGUAACAAACUAAACAAAAGAUUGUAACUGUUUUUCUAUAACUGUGGAUAAGUUUGAAGUAUAUUUAGAAAAAAAAUACACUUUUAUUCCAUCAAAUUUUAUUUGUUCAUUCUACCAAAAAUUUAAUGCAUACCUAUUUUUUAUCUUUUAAAAGAAAGUUGUUUGGAAUUUUUUUAAAAUUAAGUUGGAAAUAUUUGGAUAUAAUUAGAAAUUUUUGGUGUAUUUUUCUAAAAAAAAUUUAGUUUGUUUUGCUAUAUUUUAAUCAAUAUUGAUGGUCACACUCGUAUCCUUUGUCUUAUUUCACUUUCCUUAAUUAUAACAUUUUUUAUAAGAACAAUAGCAACACAUUAAAUGAUAAUCAUCUUAAUCUGUAUGACAUACAUCAAAUCUCUUUCUACUCUUACAUGGUUUGAUAUCAUAUUAAAUCAGCGAUUGAUUUAAAGUCAAUAUAUAUUUAGAAUAUGAGAUAGGUGAGAGGAAAAUGGAAUAUAUAUAUAUAUAUAUAUAUAUAUAUAAAAUAGUAGGUAGGCAUUGAAAGGAAUGAUAAGGAAGAUGAAGGGAGGGGGAAAAGAAGGAAGAAAAGUGAAAAGACAUGUUAUUUAAAAUAACAAUAAAGGUUGUAUUGUUCUAAAAUGAUUAAAAAAAGAAAUAUUUUAUUUUAAAAUGCAAUCAAUAAUAAAAUAAUGUUACUUACAACUUUUGUCACAAAAUUAAUAGAAAGUUUAGAUGGAUGGACCAAUAUGACAUAACACUUCAACCUUAUGAGAUAAAAUGUCAAAGUUUGUGUAGCUAAUAACACAUUGAACCAACGUGUUAAAUUUAUUUUUACUUUUUUUGGUAAAAAGGGAAUCAACCAUUCAAUUUAAAGAUUAAAAAAAGUUGAUUGAUUUAUUAUAUUAUAUUUGUGUUUUUUCCCUGGACCAAUUAAUUAGUUGAUUUUCUUCGUUUAUACUUAGGAGAGAGAUCGUAACAAAUGUCUUUUCUAAAAAGAAAAUUGUAAACAACAAAUAAGUAGAUAUACAAACAAUAUCAAUUGUUUCGAAUUGCAACUUCUUGAACUAAAACUGGAGUAAUGAACAAGACCUCUUCUAUGGAAAGCUCAAAUGUCAUAGGUAGCAUAUUGAAACUGAUUGUUAAGACUAUAAAGUAAUUUUACGGUACAAAUUUCACUCAUAGAAUGGUUUGAUAGCGUAGGUAAUAUUAGAAUAUGUUGCAUAUGAAAUAUGAUAGCCAUUUUCUUACUCUUACAAAGAUUAUUAAUGGGUUUGGUAUAGUAGACUCUCUUAGGAAGCAAUAAUAAUGCAGAUAAUUAAUAUUAGUUGGGUAUUGAAACAAUAUUAAUAUUAGUUUGCCGGCCUCAAUCUUUUUUCUAAUGGUGUGGGUGCUACUCUUGGCGGAGAGGGUGUGAUUGUUGUAUGACUUCCAAUCCCAACAAGAAUUUUGAUUUCUAUCGACAAUUUUUUCUGACAAUGUAAAAUAAAUAUGGACCGUGUCUAUGCAGUUUUCAUUGCGUGCAUACAUCUUUGCUUUUGCCAACAAAAAUAUGUACGUGGAAAAAAGUUGUGUAUUGCGUAGACAGAUCAUCGUUUUUGCCAGUUAAAAUAUACACGUGGACAAAAGGUUGUGGUUUUAAGAAGAUUUUUAAGUUGGAUUUCUAUUUGACGUUUAUUUUAGUUUAGGGUCACAUAUCGUGUGUGUGCAUACAUUUUAAAUAUUUGUCCACGUAGUUUAUGUGGCGAAAAACUGCACGUUUCUUAUAUAUAUUUAUGCGAUAUAAUAUAACACUUUUUAUAUAUAUUUAUAGCAACACAAAAUUUAUUACUUAAUUUUCCGAGGGGAAUUGUUGCUUUGGAAGUGGAGACUCUUGCUUUUCUCUAUGGGCUUAAAAUGGUGGUGGAGUGCAAUGUGAGUACUCAAGUGGUGGUGGAGAGCGACCCCCCUUGUGUUGGUAUGUGCCACUAAUGAUAGAUGUUUGAGCGUCUCGUUCGAAUAGUGUUGAAUGAAAUAUGAUGUUUAUCUUAUUCUUUACGUCUAUUGUGUUUAUCUUAUUUGGUUUAUCUCCAAUAAAUCGUGACAGUAUAAUAGAUUACGAUAAAGCAUGAAAGACUAUUAUUUAUGUACUUUAUUUUAUAUUAUGAUAAAUACAUAUAGUAGUCUAUGUCUGUCAUAGGUUGACAGUUAUAUUUUGCUAUAUUUGUAAAUGAUUUUAAAAAAUUUAUUACUUCAAAUUAAUUUUACAAUCUAAUAAUUGUACAAAUUAAUGCAUGUCAAUCGUGUUAGGUUUGUUAAACAAUCUUUCAAAAAUAACAUUAAUUAUAAUUAAUAAGAUUGUCAACGGAUUUGAUUAUUCAACAAAAUUUAGAGAUUUAUAAUUAAAAGAAUAAAGAGGGUGACAAUUUGUUCGUCGAAAUAAUGAAUAUUUAACGGUGUAUUUAUUUAGAAUUUUAAAAAAGAAGAAUAAAAAAUAUAUGUUCUCUUAAACUUUCAACUUUAUAUCAACCUAAUCUUUAUAGACUAAUAAUUAUAUCAAUUUAAAUCUUUAACUUUAAAACUUAUAUCAAUUUAAUCCUCAACCUAACAAUUGUAUUAAUAAAAGUACUAAACUUUUAACACGUGUUUUCAUUUAAACCCUAAUUUUUCAUAAGUGUGUCCAAAAAGUUCAAAGUUUAAAUUUGAUAAAACUCGAAAGUUCAGGGUUUAAAAUUGAUAUUUACAAAAUAGUGAUUAUAACGUUGUUUUUAUAUAUUUUUACAAUCACGUUGAGGAAGAUUGAACCUAAAAUAAUACAAAUUCAUGGUAAUCUCUUAACUAAAUAUAUUAUUCCCAUCCUCCUCAUCUAUUGGUUCAUAAAUUUUGUCUAAAUCUUAAUUUUGAAAAAAAUAAAAAGAAUUAUUUUUAAAAAAUGUGACUAACAAUUCAAAUGUUUAUAUAAACAUAUGAAAAUCAUCGUGAUAAAACAAAUACAAUUUUUGAAAAUAAAAAAUAAAAUAAUUACCAAACAUGACCUUAACUAGGUAGAAAUUAUAUAUAUUAAGGAUCACUUACGAAUUUAUGUAGAGGCUAGCGGGGGACACGUGUCCCCUCACGUUAUCGAUUUUUGUAUUUUUAAUAUUUAUUUUCAAGUGUCAAAUUAUAAUAUAUAUUAAAUAAUGCUUUAUUUUAAACAAAAUAUGAUUGUUGUCUAGUGGUUGUGCCCCGACUCCAAAAUUAGAAUUUCUUAAUAUAAUUAUAAUAUAGAGUGGUUUAUAAUUUCUCCAAUAGUCAUGACAUUGAAGUUCUUAAAAUGGAUACUAUGUUUUUAGUUCGAGGACAACAAAGUCAAAAAUUUCAACCAAUUACAAAUUUAUAUCAUUAUCGUGUUGAAGUCUUCCUAUAUUGUCAUUGGUAUGCAACUUCAAGAAUUGAAAAAUCGUUUUAGUGAAACAAGUACAUAAUUGCUUCUCAGUGUGGUUUAUUUGAAUCCAAGUAACUCAUUUGCUGCUUUUGAUAGACAAAAACUUAGUCGACUUGGUCAGUUUUAUCCAAGAGACUUUUCACCUAAUGAACUCUCUAUGCUUGAGAAUCGACUUCAAAAUUACAUUAUUGAUAUACAAUCAUAAUUUGUUAAAUUGAAAAACAUUGGUAAUAUUGUAGUGAAAAUGGUCAUUACGAAAAGAGAUAAAGUGUAACAAUUAUCUCUUACUGUGUUAUCAGUUGCUCACAUUGACAUUGAUUUUAUCGAUUCUAACAGCUGUUGUAGUGAACAUUUUCUGCUAUGAAUAUUGUGAAAACUUACUGUGUAAUCAAAUGAAAGAUCAAUGAAUGAAUGAUUGUCUUAUAGCUUAUAUAUUGAGAAAGAUUUAUUGGAUAAGUUAGAUAAUAAACUUAUCAUUGAUUGAUUUUAAAACAUGAAAACUCGUAAAGGACAAUUGUAAUAUAUAUUAAACUAAUUAAUAUUUGAAGCUAUUACUAUUUUUUAAACAUUUUUUAGUGUGUCUAUUAUUUUAGAUAUGGUCUAAUGUUAAUCGAAUACUAGUCAAUACAUAAAACUUACAGGUCUAUAUGUCAUGCUAGUGAUCUCAGUCGGUGUACGGAGGUGUUAAUGACCAAAAGAUACAUAGCUCGCUCAAAUGUAUUAUUAAAAUAUGUUUUCUUUUUAUAUUGGUUGAAAUGCAACCAUUGAGUCAUUGAAAUAAUUGACGUUUCCAUCAAUAUUAUAAAAUAAGUAUUUUUUUUUUCCUUUUGUUUGUUGAGUGAAACUUGAUUGUAAAUUUGUCAUUUUAACUUUUUAUAGUGAAUUAAGGGUAAAAAAAAUUACUAAGUUCAACAAAAUUUAUAGAAUUUGAGUUAGAUCAUUUGUCCGUUGAGCUUCUUGUUGCUUCCACGGAGGUGAGACUAGAAAUGAUUUUUUUAAAAAAAUAAUAAUGGAAAUGCAAAAAGAAAAAAAAAAGUUUUCCUAAUCAAACUCUUGACAAUACAAUACACCGUUGGGAGAAACAUUUAUCCAUGACAUCGUAUGUAUAUAAGCAUCAAAAGUUCUGUGAGUUCGUGAGAGUAUUUUCUAUUAGAAUUUAUGUCUUAAAACUCAUAGUUUCUAAUCAUAUUUUAUUCAAUAAAGUCGUUAUUGAUACUAUAAUCUUAAAACCAAUUAACUAAGAACUUGAGGCUAUUAUUGAGUAAACUUGAACUUUAUGUGAAGACAUUAACGUGGAUCAAGUUCGAGUAAAUAGUCUAUAGUAUAUGAAUAUGGUUAAACACCUUAUUCUAGGGACACUAUGGAUCUGACCCGUUUUGUAGUUAGUACAAACGAUGUGAUCCUGAAUCAUUCAUAUAGAGAUAUGGAAGUGGGAGCAUCCUAUGUAAAGAGUUUACAAAAGGCUAGAACCAUGAAAUGGUCACUUUUAAGUUAUAACAUCAUUAACUUUAAUAAAACCGACUAUUUUGUUUAUAGACAUUCAAUAUAACUUAAUUUUAAUAUUGAGAUAACUAUGAACUUCUUUUCACAUGAUUUUAUCAAUAACGAAUUUAAUGAGUAUAAUAUGAUUAUAAAUUACGAAUUUUAGGACAUAAAUUUCAACAAACUCCCACUUGGACUAAAACUCAUACGGCCUGUUUGGGCCUUGGGUUGGAGUGGGUUAUAAUAACUUACUCCUUAUUUGGGUGUUAUAACCUAAAAACUACUAUUUCAUGGUUCCAGUCUUAUGCAAACUCUUUACAUAUGAUGCAUCCACUUCCAUGUCUUUCUAUAUGAACGAUUCAGGAUCACAUCGUUUGUACUGACUACAAAACGAGUUGCAUCCAUAGUGUCCUAGAAUAAGUUGUCUAACUGUAUUCAUACACUAUAGAUUAUUUAGGUUAUAUACUCGAACUUGAUCCACGUUUAUGUCUCUACAUAAAGUUCAAGUUCACUCAAUAAUAGUCUCGAGUCCUUAGUUUAUUGGAUUUAAGAUUAUAGUACUAAUAAUGAUUUUAUUGAAUAAAAUAUGAUUACAAACUACUAGUUUUACGACACAAAUUCAAACAUUUCCAAUGCUAUAUGGUUGCAUGUGUCGAGAGAUUUAACUCUCAAAAAAGUUUUUGACUAUUUUCCAAUGAUUUGUAAAGCAUCACGAAACUAUUUAUUUCUUGCAAUGGAGUAUUUUUUUUUUAAAAAAAAAAUCUUUUAAAUUUAGGAGGAUUUAUACCAAACUUAACCCUAAAUAUAUUUUUUUAAUUGUUUUUAAAAGUGAAAAAUAUAUUUUUUAAACUUUUCAAGUUUAAAAAUAUUUUUUACCCAAACUAAGUGAUCAGACAAUUUUUAUUAUUUAACCUUUUUAGUCGUUAGAGGGUAUCUAUAUUUGGCAUACUAAAAUCAAUUUUUUUAGGUUCAUCUAUUUUAUCUCACAUUUGUUAAAUAACUAAAUAUAAAAUGUUCUUUUAGCUGGAAAUGCAUGUGUGAUUCUAUAAUCAAAUUGACCAAAUGCAUCUUUAUACUUUAGGAUAUAUGCAAUGUUUCACUGGACCAAUAGCUUAGAUUCAACUCGAAAUUAUAAAAUUUAAUCAGUGUCUAACGUAAAUUGAGAUUAUGGCCAUUAUUUGUUAUAGUUCUUGCGUUUUUGAUUGAGUAUGAAUUGAUGAGAUCUAUUAACGUCUUUUGAUUUGUUGAUUGAUUGUAUUACAAAAGUUAGAUUGGGUAUGAUCGAUCAAUGGAAUGUCGAAACUCAUAGUUCACCUUUUGAUUGAGAGGUAUUUUUGGAUUCCUAUCCUUUAUGGGUAUUUAACCCUUGGAGUCAAAGAUUCAAAUUGUGAAUUACUUCACUCGGUUGCUCUAAUGAGUUUGUUGUGUUACCAUUAAAGAAAACAUAAAUUUGAUGGUUUAUUAACUCUUAAUUAUAGUCAAAACAAGUUAAUUCAAUUGACAUACAAAUGUGUUAAAAAUUGUGAGGUCACUUGAGUUGUACUACUUCCCUAAUUUACAAUUCUUCUAUUUACUCAAAAUACUUCUUUAAUAUAUAUUUUAUAAAUAUUUUCACACUUCACCAUUUACGAGUAGAAAACUCAAAUAUAUUAAACUAAACAAACGUGAUGACUUAUUUAAUUAAUAUUAUUAUGUUUAGGAAAUGGGGAUUAGGUAAAUGACAAUUUAGAAGGGAUAAAUAAAGACUUUGACUUGAACAAAAUGAAAAAUUACACCAUUAUUUUAAAAAAUGAGAACAAUUAUCCCCAAAUUUAAUAUUUUAAAGAAAUGCAAUUAAAAGUGGAUAUGCAAUAAUUGAAUUGGUUUUGGAAGGAUCAAUUACAAUAAUUAAGUUAAUUCAACCUACAAGUGCAAAUGCAAUAAUUAUAAACGUUUGGAAAUUUAAGUUAGAUUUUUUUUUAAUGAAAUAAUUCAUGUGGAUAUAAUAAUUUAUUACUACUAUAGUCUAUAGAAUAAGAUAAAAUCACUUUAGAUUUCACUUUUGCAGUGGGUCAAUGAGUUUUUUUUUCUUUUUAUUUAAUAUUAUUAUUUUCCCUUUUCAUUCAAAUAAAAAUACAAUCUCUCUGUCCCUUGAGUCAUUCUAGAAUAAAGUUUGGCCAUAAUUGUUAUAUGAAUCGUUUAGGUUAUGAAAUGAGGUAUUUUCCUCAAAUAGAGAAUUAUACUAUCGGUUCAAAAGUUGAAUGAUUGAAUUGUUACAAAUUUUAUAGAAUAAUACAACGAAGAGUUAAAAUUUAAACAAUUUAGAACAUGACGAACGUAAAAUUAAUCAUUUCAAAAUUAUUUUUUUAAUAUAAAUGGAAAUUUGAACUGUUAAUCAAUUUCAAUUAAAUUAAUCAUUUCAAAAUCACUUUUUUAACCUAAAUGAAAAUUUGAACUUUUAGUCCAUUUCAAAACUUGGUAGUUCUAUUAUAAUAAAUUAUUCUAUUGAAGUUUUCAAAACCAAUUCAAAGUUUUAAGUUUCUAAAAAAUAGUUUAGAAUUUGAUUUAAAGUAUUUAACUUUUUUAUUAAAAAUAAAAAACCACGGUAAAAAAUUAGAAGAAAAUACAAUUAUUUUUUAAAAUAAAAAUCUAAAUACGUUAACAACAAUAAGGUUUAAGUCCUAUUAUUAAACAAAAUCAAAUAUUUAUAAAUAUAAUAUAAAGAUUAAAAAAAUAUUAACAAAUAUAACAGGAAACUAUAAUUGAGUAAAAUUUUAAUCAAAUUUUUAGUAGUAAUAGACUGUAUUAUAUCUAUCUAAAAAUAUUUUUAUAUACUUAAUUACUAACUCAUAUUUAUUUGUUUUUACAAAAAGAAAAAGCAAAAUUAAGAUUUUAUUUUAACUAACAAUUUCGCUUCAUCUAUCGGUAGCCAACGGAGCACCGAAAGAACCACCGUUAGAUACAAUGAAAUCCAAAACAGUGGAGACAAUCUCAUCGAAGCAUACCGGCGCCGUCGUGUCCACCACCAGUCUCGGCACAUCGCCCACAUCAAACUCCGUACAUCCGCCGUAACUUUCCAGAAGCAUCUCGAUGUCGCGCCACGUGGACGGCUUAUGCCAGUUCGUCUGAUCAUCAGUGCCGCGGCUCUCCAAUCUCCGCCUCCACUCCGUAAGAUCAGACGGCCUGCACUCGACAAUCAGAACCCGGGCGCCGGAGACGGAAGCCACGUCGGCGAGGCGGCAGAGGUGAGAUCGGUGAGAAAGAGGCGUAUCGACGACAACGCUGAGGCCGAGGCGGAGCUGUGUGGAGGCGAGGCGGAAAACGACGUCGUAUGAGAGAUCGUUGACGAGUGAGGCGGUAGUUGCGGCAGCGAGGGGAGCGGCGCAGUCCUUGACGUCGUCUUUGUCGAUGAGAGGGAAUUUUAGGAGAGAGGCUAUGGCUUGGGCCAAAGUGCUUUUGCCGGUGCCUGGAUGCCCUUUCAUCGCUAUUACCAUUCUUCUUCUCUCUUCAAUUUCUUCUCCCAUUUUUCUUACUUUCAAUUUUAUUCAUUUUGUGGACAAUGCUAAUUUUAUUAUCCUCAAACCACUGUUUGAGAAUUGAACAAAAAGAAAAAAAAAAGAUAUUUAUUCUGAGUGUAGAUUUUUCUAGUGGAAUUGGUUCUUUUAUAAUCCAACUUGCCAUUUCAGCUUAGUUGUUGAUUUUUUCAAGGAUAUAGUUCUUAUUAAUCUUUUGUCGCUCAUACAUACUAACUUAUGAACUUACC